GCGAAGAAGGACGUGGCUACCGGCGAAACGUUUCGGGGAGUUGGAAGUAAGCUUUGAUCCGAAAGUCUCCGAAUGAGGAAACUCAAUAACUUCUUACUGAAUCUAUAAGUAAAGAAAGAGCAAACCUAGGGAAUUGAAACAUCUUAGUACCUAGAGGAAAAGAAAGUAAAAACGAUUCCCUGAGUAGUGGCGAACGAAACGGGAACAGUCUAAACUUUUUCUCUCAUUAAAAAGAGUAGAAAAAGGGUUGUGGGAGAAAAAAAAGCUUCAUUAUUUUUUAUUAAAUAAUGACUGAAUAAGAAAGAAACUAAAGAGAAACCUUUACUAAUUUCAAUGAAAUUAGGUGAAAUAACUGGAAAGUUAUACCAAAGAAAGUGAAAGUCUUGUAACCGAAAAUUUCUACCCUAUUAUUUUUUCCCGAGUAGCAUGGGGCACGUGGAAUCCCGUGUGAAUCUGCGAGGACCACCUCGUAAGACUAAAUAUUCCUGAAUGUCCGAUAGCGUAUAGUACCGCGAGGGAAAGGUGAAAAGAACCCCGGGAGGGGAGUGAAAUAGAACGUGAAAUUGCAAGCCCACAAACAGAAAGAGAACGACUUAGCGUUUAAUUUCGUGCCUGUUGAAGAAUGUUCCGGCGACUUAUAGUUAGUGGCAGGUUAAGAGAGAGAUCUCGGAGCCAGAGUGAAAGCGAGCUUGAAUAGAGCGUUAGUCACUAGUUAUAGACCCGAACCCGGUUGAUCUAACCAUGGCCAGGAUGAAACUUAGGUAAUACUAAGUGGAGGUCCGAACCGACUGAUGUUGAAAAAUCAGCGGAUGAGUUGUGGUUAGGGGUGAAAUGCCAAUCGAAACCGGAGCUAGCUGGUUCUCCCCGAAAUGUAUUUAGGUGCAGCGGUUAAUAUUAUAGCGUAGGGGUAAAGCACUGUUUCGGUGCGGGCUGGUAAUUCGGUACCAAAUCGAGGCAAACUCUGAAUACUACGUGUACAGUUAACCAGUAAGACUAUGGGGGAUAAGCUUCAUAGUCAAGAGGGAAACAGCCCAGAUCACCAGCUAAGGCCCCUAAAUAAUGACUAAGUGAUAAAGGAAGUGGAAAGGCUUAGACAACCAGGAGGUUUGCUUAGAAGCAGCAAUCCUUUAAAAAGUGCGUAAUAGCUUACUGGUCUAGCAAUUCUGCGCCGAAAACUUACGGGACUAAGUCAUUUGCCGAAGCUGUGAGAUAGAAAAACUUUGGAAACAAAAAAUUUUUAUCGGUAGGGGAGCGUUCUGUUGUAGAGUGAAGUAUUAGCGAAAGCGGGUAUGGACGAAACAGAAGUGAGAAUGUCGGAUUGAGUAGCGAAAACAUUGGUGAGAAUCCAAUGCUCCGAAAACCUAAGGUUUCCUCCGCAAGGCUCGUCCACGGAGGGUUAGUCAGGUCCUAAGAUGAGGCUGAGAAGCGUAGUCGAUGGACAAUAGGUUCAUAUUCCUAUACUGAUUUUAGCAGGUAUCGAGGGACGAAGAAGGCUAAACUAGCCAGAGACUGGUUACUGGUUUAAGUAGUUAAGGUGUUGAGGAUUAGAGAAAAUAAUCUGAGCUGAAAUACGAAUACAAGAUUUUAAAAAUCAAAGUAGUUGAUGUCAUACUUCCAAGAAAAGCUCGCUAUGCCUUAUGUUAAAAUCACCUGUACCUUAAACCGACACAGGUAGGUAGGUAGAGAAUACCAAGGAGCGCGGGAGAACCCUCCUUAAGGAACUCGGCAAAAUAGCUCUGUAACUUCGGAAGAAAGAGUGCCUUUUAGGCUGCAAUAUCAAGUUCCAAGCAACUGUUUAGCAAAAACACAGGUCUCCGCAAAGUGGUAACACGACGUAUGGGGGCUGACGCCUGCCCAGUGCUGGAAGGUUAAAGAAGUCGGUUAGCGCAAGCAAAGCUGGUAACUGAAGCCCCAGUGAACGGCGGCCGUAACUAUAACGGUCCUAAGGUAGCGAAAUUCCUUGUCAGGUAAGUUCUGACCCGCACGAAUGGCGUAAUGAUUUGGAAGCUGUCUCGAGGAGGGACUCGGUGAAAUAGAACUAGCUGUGAAGAUGCGGCUUACCUGCGCCUGGACAGUAAGACCCUAUGAAGCUUUACUGUAUCCUGAAAUUGGAUUUCGAUUUUAUUUGCGCAGAAUAGGUGGGAGACGGAGAGAUUCUUCUUUCGGGAAGAAAGGAGUCAUUAGUGAGAUACCACUCUGAUAAAAUUAAAAUUCUAACUUCAUACCGUAAGCCGGUUGAAAAACAGUUUCAGGUGGGCAGUUUGACUGGGGCGGUCGCCUCCCAAAAGGUAACGGAGGCGUACAAAGGUUUCCUCAGAUCGGUCAGAAAUCGAUCUUUGAGUGCAAAGGCAAAAGGAAGCUUAACUGUGAGACAAACAAGUCGAGCAGAGACGAAAGUCGGUCUUAGUGAUCUGACGAUGCUGUGUGGAAAGGUCGUCACUCAACGGAUAAAAGUUACUCUAGGGAUAACAGGCUGAUCUCCCCCAAGAGUUCCUAUCGACGGGGAGGUUUGGCACCUCAAUUGGGGGCACAUAAUUAGAAAUACUAUGUGACAAUUUGGCUAUAUGCUGGAAACUCCGUUCAUUAAAAGUGAUAUAGUAUCCUAAAGUACUCUUGAAUCUUUCAAAGUAAAAAUCUUUAGGUGCGGACAAUCAGCAGGGAAGUUUAUAAGAAAGUUUAGACUCUCAUUAUAUAACCCCUCAACGACUACACGCCGAACAACCAAAACGGUUGAUGAUAUAGUCUGAUCUUUUAGGCGACUAAAAGGAUUUGAAUAAGAGGGAUGAAAAACUUUUUCAAAUCGUAAAAUUCUAUUCUUCAUAUCCUUUAUUUAACGCUACGAGCUAUUGGUAUAUGGAUGAUGGUACAUUAAAAUGGAAAGAGAGAUCAAACGCAGUUCGAUUUUGUAAGAUCCAUAUUUAUUGCAAAAUCUAGUUGAUUAAUUUUAUUAACAUAAUUGCGAUGUCGGCUCAUCGCAUCCUGGGGCGGAAGUACGUCCCAAGGGUUGGGCUGUUCGCCCAUUAAAGCGGUACGUGAGCUGGGUUCAGAACGUCGCGAGACAGUUCGGUCCAUAUCCGGCGUGGGCGUUAGAGUAUUGAGAGUGACCUUUCUCUAGUACGAGAGGACCGAGAAAGAUGUACCUUUGGUGUACCAGUUCUUGUGCCAACAGGAAAUGCGGGGUAGCUAAGUACAGUUAGGAUAACCGCUGAAAGCAUCU
rnacentral:rRNA from 1 species